UCAAUGCAUGUUUUUGGGAUGUGGGAGUAAAACCCGAGUGCCUGGAGAAAACCCACGGAGGUAAGGCGAGAACAUGCAAACAAAAGGUAUGUCUUGAAGGUAUUUUAUUUCUUGAUAUACACAAGCAUGUAGUUGUUUUAUGAUGUAAUAUUGACAUACCCGUUCUCCUUUAAUUCCUGCACCCUGUUGUCCUCUCGAUCCUCUCGGUCCUGGAAGCCCGCGAUCCCCCUAUGGAACAAAAUCAUACCGUGUUAACUACAUCACAACCACUUGAGGUUUUUUGGGUCUUUGCCAAAUUCAUAUUGUUCUCCACUGAACUGGUUCUGAAGAGGAGCGUGUUGGCUCCUGUUAGCCACUUCAUUCAAAUGAUCCUACCUGAAAGGAAUGGAGGUAUCCCAAUGCCAGUUUCCCCCUGAAUACCUGGAGGGCCGGGUGGUCCACGUUCCCCCUGUCAGCAAGAUGUAGGUUCAGUCAUCUCCUCACAGGACCAGCAAAAGAAAGGAUCAAGUUGCAUGAAGAGCACCACUUUGCUCAUUUAUCAUCCAUAAGCAACAACAGCAGUGCUGUCCUUCUUGGAAUCAGUCGAAAAAGUUGGAGUACUCACAGCUCUUUUAUAAGGAAG